rnacentral:rRNA from 1 species
UACGUAGGGGGCAAGCGUUGUCCGGAUUUAUUGGGCGUAAAGAGCGUGUAGGCGGCCACACAGGUCAGCUGUGAAAACUCGAGGCUCAACCUCGAGACGUCGGUUGAAACCGUAUGGCUAGAGUCCGGAAGAGGAGACUGGAAUUCCUGGUGUAGCGGUGAAAUGCGCAGAUAUCAGGAGGAACACCGGUGGCGAAGGCGGGUCUCUGGGCCGAUACUGACGCUGAGGAGCGAAAGCGUGGGGAGCGAACAGG